GAUCAAGGGAGGCAAGAUCGUGAAUGAUGACCAGUCCUUCUACGCAGACAUUUAUAUGGAAGAUGGGUUGAUAAAGCAAAUAGGCGAGAACCUGAUCGUGCCGGGAGGGGUGAAGACCAUCGAAGCCCACUCCAGGAUGGUGGUGCCCGGCGGGAUCGACGUGCACACCCGCUUCCAGAUGCCGGACCAGGGCAUGACGGCCGCCGACGACUUCUUCCAGGGGACGAAGGCCUCCCUGGCAGGGGGCACCACCAUGAUCAAAAUGUGACUCAUCGGGGAUUAUUUUCAGAACAAGGCCGUCAUUUUGAGCCGGAUUCUUUGAUCCUUAAUUUAAAAAACAAACCCCAU